CAGUCGCCGCGGUAAUACGUAGGGUGCGAGCGUUAAUCGGAAUUACUGGGCGUAAAGCGUGCGCAGGCGGUUCGUUAAGACAGAUGUGAAAUCCCCGGGCUUAACCUGGGAACUGCAUUUGUGACUGGCGAGCUAGAGUAUGGCAGAGGGGGGUAGAAUUCCACGUGUAGCAGUGAAAUGCGUAGAGAUGUGGAGGAAUACCGAUGGCGAAGGCAGCCCCCUGGGCCAAUACUGACGCUCAUGCACGAAAGCGUGGGGAGCAAACAGGAUUAGAUACCCGUGUAGUCCCUGUCUCUUAUAC
rnacentral:rRNA from 1 species